CCUACGGGGGGCAGCAGUGAGGAAUAUUGGUCAAUGGACGAGAGUCUGAACCAGCCAAGUAGCGUGAAGGAUGACUGCCCUAUGGGUUGUAAACUUCUUUUAUAAAGGAAUAAAACGAGGCACGUGUGCCUUUUUGCAUGUACUUUAUGAAUAAGGAUCGGCUAACUCCGUGCCAGCAGCCGCGGUAAUACGGGGGAUCCGAGCGUUAUCCGGAUUUAUUGGGUUUAAAGGGAGCGUAGAUGGGUUGUUAAGUCAGUUGUGAAAGUUUGCGGCUCAACCGUAAAAUUGCAAUUGAUACUGGCAGUCGUGAGUACAGUUGGGGUAAGCGGAAUUCGUGGUGUAGCGGUGAAAUGCUUAGAUAUCACGAAGAACCCCGAUUGCGAAGGCAGCUUACUAAACUGUGACUGACAUUGAUGCUCGAAAGUGUGGGUAUCAAACAGGAUUAGAUACCCCAGUAGUC
rnacentral:rRNA from 1 species